rnacentral:rRNA from 1 species
UACGUAGGGGGCUAGCGUUGUCCGGAUUUAUUGGGCGUAAAGAGCGUGUAGGCGGCCAUGUAGGUCCGGUGUGAAAACUCGAGGCUUAACCUCGAGAUGUCAUCGGAAACCAUUUGGCUAGAGUCCGGAAGAGGAGAGUGGAAUUCCUGGUGUAGCGGUGAAAUGCGUAGAUAUCUGGAGGAACACCGGUGGCGAAGGCGACGUCCUGGACCGGCAUUGACGCUGAGGCGCGAAAGCCAGGGGAGCAAACGGG